rnacentral:rRNA from 1 species
AUUGAACGCUGGCGGCAUGCUUUACACAUGCAAGUCGAACGGUAACAGGUUAAGCUGACGAGUGGCGAACGGGUGAGUAAUGCAUCGGAACGUGCCCAGUCGUGGGGGAUAACGCAGCGAAAGCUGUGCUAAUACCGCAUACGAUCUAUGGAUGAAAGCGGGGGACCGUAAGGCCUCGCGCGAUUGGAGCGGCCGAUGUCAGAUUAGCUAGUUGGUGGGGUAAAGGCCCACCAAGGCGACGAUCUGUAGCUGGUCUGAGAGGACGACCAGCCACACUGGAACUGAGACACGGUCCAGACUCCUACGGGAGGCAGCAGUGGGGAAUUUUGGACAAUGGGCGCAAGCCUGAUCCAGCAAUGCCGCGUGCAGGAAGAAGGCC